UGGGGAAUAUUGCACAAUGGGGGAAAGCCCUGAUGCAGCGACGCCGCGUGAAGGAAGAAGUAUCUCGGUAUGUAAACUUCUAUCAGCAGGGAAGAUAAUGACGGUACCUGACUAAGAAGCCCCGGCUAAUUACGUGCCAGCAGCCGCGGUAAUACGUAAGGGGCAAGCGUUAUCCGGAUUUACUGGGUGUAAAGGGAGCGUAGACGGAAUGGCAAGUCUGAUGUGAAAGGCAGGGGCUUAACCCCUGGACUGCAUUGGAAACUGUCAGUCUAGAGUGCCGGAGAGGUAAGCGGAAUUCCUAGUGUAGCGGUGAAAUGCGUAGAUAUUAGGAGGAACACCAGUGGCGAAGGCGGUCGCCUGGUCUGUAACUGACACUGAUGCACGAAAGCGUGGGGAGCAAACAGGAUUAGAUACCC
rnacentral:rRNA from 1 species